rnacentral:rRNA from 1 species
UACGAAGGGGGCUAGCGUUGCUCGGAAUUACUGGGCGUAAAGCGCACGUAGGCGGCUUGUUAAGUCGGGGGUGAAAUCCUGGAGCUCAACUCCAGAACUGCCUUCGAUACUGGCGAUCUCGAGUUCGGGAGAGGUGAGUGGAACUGCGAGUGUAGAGGUGAAAUUCGUAGAUAUUCGCAAGAACACCAGUGGCGAAGGCGGCUCACUGGUCCGGUACUGACGCUGAGGUGCGAAAGCGUGGGGAGCAAACAGG